UAAGCAUUAUUAAGUAUCUACU
rnacentral:miRNA from 1 species